ACCAAGGUUGCAUGUACCAGGUUGCAACUCCUUAUUCCUGAAUAAACACAUUUUGCUGGAGAAAUAUCUGGCUGGCAUUUUGUUUAUGAUCAGCAUGUUUGGCGGCCCUUACAGGAAUCCACAGAAGACCCCUGAUCUCUCUGAGGCUGGUGAGCAAACAGAUGAGGCACCCACAGAGCCCACUGAGCUCCUGUUUCUCUGGCUGACCCUAGAGUUUGGGGCCAGGAGCUGAAUCACUGGUUCCUGGUAACCCACACUUCACUGUUAGAGGUUGUAAGAAGUGAAGUGACAAGACUGCUUCAAUUACUUAAGCAAGCUUUUUGUUUCGGCAUGAGGAAUUCAGAUGACAGUCAGAUAUGGCAAUUUGUUCUUGGAUAUGAAGAGAUUUUAUUGAUAGUUACCGAAGGAGGAGGCUUGAAAAGCGGAAAUGACGUACCUUGCACAGAGGAUACAUCUAGCAAAUGAGUCUUCCAUCAUUGCAAAGUUUAAAGGAUUAUAAGCCUCGAUGUGCAAAAUGAGGUGAAGAUGCUUUGCUCCAACAAAUAACCCAUGAAUCCCCAUCUGAGUUGUUCACUGACAUUAAACAGACAUUUCUAUUUUACAGGACAAUAUGACUGACUGAUAAGAAUUCUAUGACCUUUCCUUUUCGUCUUUCUUUCUCCCACAACAAAAAUGGGCUACUUCAAAAUGUCAUGGAAGGUAUAAGAAUUUAAUCUUGAAUCUGUCAUAUGAGUUGAUAGAUUCAUUGCCAAUAUAGCAUUGGUAGCUUUUAGUACAUGCAAGAAACCCAUUAAUAUUUGUUGCUUCGAUUAAAUGAAGAAAAAAGAUGCAAAGCCUGUAAUUAGAAAUUCAAAACAUUUUGUUUCAAAGAUGGAAUUCUAUGUAUUUUCCCCAUAGACUUCAUAUUUUAGUUAUUUUUUCCAGUAUUAGUUAUUCAUACAUUAGUAGCUAGCCAUUUUAUCAGAAAAAAAUAAGAAUGCAGAUAUUAACCCAUGGAUUCUAUUCUGAUAUAUGCUCAGGAGUGACUAAUUAGCUAUCAAUACCACAUCAACUAUGUUCACUUAUUCUGGAAAACAAUAAAUGAGUUUAUUUUGGUGACUUGCAGGGUAACACCAAAGGAUAGAUUUAGAUGACAAAUAAUUUGCUGAAUUUCUAUAAUGUAAGAAAGAGGAUAAAUAUUGACUAUGAGUUUAUUUUAUAAAGCAAUUCUAUU